rnacentral:rRNA from 1 species
UGAGGAAUAUUGGUCAAUGGGCGCGAGCCUGAACCAGCCAAGUCGCGUGAGGGAAGACGGUCCUAUGGAUUGUAAACCUCUUUUGUCGGGGAGCAAUUUUCGCUACGUGUAGUGAAAGUGAGAGUACCCGAAGAAAAAGCAUCGGCUAACUCCGUGCCAGCAGCCGCGGUAAUACGGAGGAUGCGAGCGUUAUCCGGAUUUAUUGGGUUUAAAGGGUGCGUAGGCCGGCGGUCAAGUCAGCGGUAAAAUUGAGAGGCUCAACCUCUUCGAGCCGUUGAAACUGGUCGUCUUGAGUGGGCGAGAAGUAUGCGGAAUGCGUGGUGUAGCGGUGAAAUGCAUAGAUAUCACGCAGAACUCCGAUUGCGAAGGCAGCAUACCGGCGCCCGACUGACGCUGAAGCACGAAAGCGUGGGGAUCAAACAGG